CCUACGGGCGGCUGCAGUGGGGAAUAUUGGACAAUGGGGGGAACCCUGAUCCAGCCAUGCCGCGUGUGUGAAGAAGGCCCUCGGGUUGUAAAGCACUUUCAGUGAGGAAGAACGCCUGGUGGUUAAUACCCAUCAGGAAAGACAUCACUCACAGAAGAAGCACCGGCUAACUCCGUGCCAGCAGCCGCGGUAAUACGGAGGGUGCGAGCGUUAAUCGGAAUUACUGGGCGUAAAGCGCGCGUAGGUGGCUUGAUAAGCCGGUUGUGAAAGCCCCGGGCUCAACCUGGGAACGGCAUCCGGAACUGUCAAGCUAGAGUGCAGGAGAGGAAGGUAGAAUUCCCGGUGUAGCGGUGAAAUGCGUAGAGAUCGGGAGGAAUACCAGUGGCGAAGGCGGCCUUCUGGACUGACACUGACACUGAGGUGCGCAAGCGUGGGUAGCAAACAGGAUUAGAUACCCUAGUAGUC
rnacentral:rRNA from 1 species